ACUCCUACGGGAGGCAGCAGUGGGGAAUAUUGCACAAUGGGCGCAAGCCUGAUGCAGCCAUGCCGCGUGUAUGAAGAAGGCCUUCGGGUUGUAAGUACUUUCAGCAGUGAGGAAGGUGGGUAUGUUAAUAGCAUAUUCAUUUUGACGUUUUAGCUGCAGAAGAAGCACCGGCUAACUCCGUGCCAGCAGCCGCGGUAAUACGGAGGGUGCGAGCGUUAAUCGGAAUUACUGGGCGUAAAGCGCAUGCAGGUGGUUUGUUAAGUCAGAUGUGAAAGCCCGGGGCUCAACCUCGGAAUUGCAUUUGAAACUGGCAAACUAGAGUACUGUAGAGGGGGUAGAA
rnacentral:rRNA from 1 species